rnacentral:rRNA from 1 species
GCCAGACUCCUACGGGAGGCAGCAGUGGGGAAUAUUGCACAAUGGGGGAAACCCUGAUGCAGCGACGCCGCGUGAGUGAAGAAGUAUUUCGGUAUGUAAAGCUCUAUCAGCAGGAAAGAAAAUGACGGUACCUGAAGAAGAAGCCCCGGCUAACUACGUGCCAGCAGCCGCGGUAAUACGUAGGUGGCAAGCGUUGUCCGGAUUUACUGGGUGUAAAGGGCGUGUAGCCGGGCUGACAAGUCAGAUGUGAAAUUCCGGGGCUCAACCCCGGACCUGCAUUUGAAACUGUUGGUCUUGAGUAUCGGAGAGGCAGGCGGAAUUCCUAGUGUAGCGGUGAAAUGCGUAGAUAUUAGGAGGAACACCAGUGGCGAAGGCGGCUUACUGGACUGUAACUGACGUUGAGGCUCGAAAGCGUGGGGAGCAAACAGGAUUAGAUACCCCCGUAGC